rnacentral:snRNA from 13 species
AGCUUUGCUCAGUGGCAGUAUCGUAGCCAAUGAGGUUUAUCCAAGGUACGAUUAUUGCUAAUUGAAAAGAAGACAUACAAAUGGCAUACAUAUGAAAAAAUGCUCAAUAUAACUAAUUAUUGGAAAAAUGCGAAUC